rnacentral:rRNA from 1 species
AGUGCGACGGGGGGACCCCAAGUGCCACUCUUAACGGGGUGGCUUUUUUUGAGUGUAAAAAGCUUUGAGAAUAAGAGCUGGGCAAGACCGGUGCCAGCAGCCGCGGUAA